UUUUUUUUUUUUUUUUUUUUUUUUUUUUUGGCUUUUUGCCAUUUUUUGGGCCGCUCCCGCGGCAUAUGGAGGUUCCCAGGCUAGGGGUUGAAUCGGAGCUGUAGCCACUGGCCUACGCCAGAGCCACAGCAACGCGGGAUCUGAGCCGCAUCUGCAACCUACACCACAGCUCACAGCAACGCCGGGUCCUUAACCCACUGAGCAAGGGCAAGGAUCGAACCCGCAACCUCAUGGUUCCUAGUCGGAUUCGUUAACCACUGCACCACAACGGGAACUCCGAAUUUUUUCUUUUUUAAGGCUGAGUGAUACCACUGUGUGUGUGUGUGCACGCACACAUGUGCAAGAAAGUAUGUGCACAUGUACAAGCCCAUUCAUCUGUUAAUGGACAUGUAGGUUGUUUCUAAAUCUCGGCAUUUUUGUCAGCAGUGUUGCAUCGAACAUAGAGGUUACAGAGAUAGCUCUUAUUUAACAGUUGGCAAGAAGCUAGAGCUCACACUUUUGCAAGGAAAUGAAUUCUGCCACCAACCUGAGUGGCUUCUUCCCUCGUUAAGCCUCCAGAUUCAAGCACAGCCCAGCUGAAACCUUGACCACAGCUGUGUGCAACCCUUAGCAGAAGACCCAGCCAAGCUGACUUACUGAGUUCCAGACUCCUGAUGCACUGAUAUUGCGCUAUUUGAAGCUGCUGAGUUAGUGGUAAUUUACAGCAGUAGGUAACUAAUAUCUUGCUUGUUAGCGGCAUGACCUUAGGGAAGCUGUGCAUAUUUCCCGUGCCUUAGUUCUCUCAUCUUCAAAUCAGGCUAGCAGUAAUCACCUAUCUCAUAGGCUCUGAAGGUGGCACGACUUAAUGUGUGUAUGAUCCUUUGGCCACACCCAGCCCCCUGGAAAGUUGCUCAGUCAUUGUAGCUGUGUUAUCACUGCCUUUGUCUCUCUCUCUCCCUCCCUCCCUCUUCAGACUCAAUAGUUUUUCACCCCGAUUCUUCCAUCUCAUCUCCUUUUUUAGAAUUUCAUUUCUUUGCCCAGUGUAGCCUUGGCUGGUCAACACCUCUUACCUAACAGUCACUUAUCUGACAGCCUUGACUAUUCUAAGAUAAUCAGGAUGCUCCAAAACCAAAUUGAUUCCAUGUAGAAAAUACAUUAAAGCUAUAUUCUUGACCUGUUAUCAGAACUUAAAACUGAGUGAGAAAAAUUGAGGGAAGCAUAUUCAUAGAAAUAAGAAUGUAAUUAAGAUAAUCUGAGAUGGAAGGAACCUGAAAACUAAAAGGCAGAAAACUCACAAAGCAGAGAAAGGCUGCACUUCAGGGAUAUCUGAAAGUUUUCAGUGAACAAACAUUGUCUUAUUGGACAAGUCACUUUUUGCUUUUUAAGGCCAUACUCAGGGCAUAUGGAGGUUCCCAAGUUAGGAGUCGGUGUUGUAGCCCCAGCCUAUGCCACAGCAACACAGGAUCUGAGCUGUGUCUGCAACCUACACCACAGCUCAGCAAUGCUGGAUCCUUAACCCACUGAGCAAGGCCAGGGAUGGAACCUGUGUCUUCAUGGAUACAGUCAAAUUCAUUUCUGCUGAGCCACGAAGGAAACUCCAAGACACCGUUCUAAUUUCAAUUUCCAGAUUUGUUUAAAUAACAAUAUUGUCAUCGAGAGGGCCUGAAAGUCCAUUCUACACUAAUUAGGGUAACAGUGUAUAUAUUUUAUAUUAUCAUAGUACGAUAUAAUAUUAGAAAUGCAUAAUACUUUAAAAGAUUAGUUUUAAAUUAUCAAAUAAUUUUUCACAGAACUAGAAUGAAUAAUCCAAAAGUAUAUGUGAGCCAUAAAGACCCAGAAUUGUCAAAGCAAUCCUGAGGGGGAAAAAAGCAGGAGGCAUAACUCUUCCAGACCUCAGACAAUAUUACAAAGCUAUAGUAAUCACAACAGUGUGGUAUUGGUACAAAAAGACAUGUGGAUCAGUGGAACAGGACAGAGAUCCUAGAAAUAAACCCAGACAUCUAUGGUCAGUUAAUCUUUGACAAAGGAGGCAAGAAUAAAAUGAGGGAAAGAGUCUCUUCAGCAAGUAGUGCUGGGAACCCUGGACAGCUGCAUGUAAAUCCGGGAAACUGGAACACACCCUCACAUCAUGCACAGAAAUAAACGCAAAGUAGGUUAAAGACUUAAACGUAAGACAGGACACCAUCAAACUCAUAGAAGAGAACACAGGCAAAACGUUCUCUGAUAUAAACCAUACAAAUGUUUUCUUAGGCUAGUGUCCCAAUGCGAUAGAAGUAAAAACAGAAAUAAUCCGCUGGGACCUAAGAGCAAAGGAAACCAUAAAAAAAAAAAGAAGAAGAACCCUGAAAAGACAACUGACAGAAUGGGAGAAAAUAGUUGCAAAUGAUGGAACCAACAAGGACACGAUCACCAAAUUACACAAAUAGCUUCUAGAACUCAACAACAAUAAAAUAACCCAACUGAAAAAUGGGCAGAAGACCAAAGAGAAAUUUCUCCAAAGAAGACAUAUGGAUGGCCAGCAAACACGUGAAAAGAUCUUGAACAUCACUUUUAGAGAAAUGCAAAUCAAAACUACAACGAGGUACCACUUCAUACCAGUCAGAAUGGCCAUCGUUAAUAAGUCGAUCAAUAACAAAUGCAAAAGAGGGUGCUGAGAAAAGGGAAUGCUGUUGGUGGGAAUAUAAAUUGGCACAACCACUGUGGAAAAGAAUACGUAGCUUCCUCAGAAAACUAAAUGUAGAACUACUGGUCCCACUCCUGGGCAUAUUUCUGGACAAAACUGUAAUUCAGAAAGAUCUGUGCACCCCUAUAGUUCAUAGCAGCACUAUUUGCAAUAGCUAAGACAUGGAAAACAGCCUAAGUGCCCAUCCACAGAUGAAUGGAUUAAGAAGAUCUGGUACAUAGUACAAUGGAAUACUACUCAGCCAUAAAAAGAAUGAAAUAAUACCAUUUGCAGCAAUAUGUAUGUACCUAGAGAUUUUCAUACUAAGUGAAGUUGUCAGAGAAAGGUAAAUGCCAUAUAUCACUUAAAUGUGAAAUCUAAAAUAUAGCACAAAUGAACCUAUCUGCAAAACAGACAUAAAGAAUAGAUUUAUGGUUGCCAAGGGGGAGGAGGGAGGGAGUGGGAUGGACGUUUGCAGUUAAUCCAUACAACCUACUAAGCAUCUCCUAUUCAACCCCUAGCCUGGGAAAUUCCAUAUGCCACAGGUACAGCCCUAAAAAG
rnacentral:lncRNA from 1 species